rfam:Ramazzottius varieornatus DNA, contig: Scaffold017, strain: YOKOZTNA-1.
GUUGGGUACGGUACAGUGGUACCAUUGGGCAUCCUCGGCAAACUCAUCGGUUGUACCUGUGCCGUCUCCGGUCUUCUAUUCAUCGCUCUUCCCGUACCGGUUAUUGUCUCCAAC